GAUGAACGCUAGCGGGAGGCCUAACACAUGCAAGCCGAGCGGUAGAGUUUCUGAAACUUGAGAGCGGCGCACGGGUGCGUAACACGUGUGCAACCUACCUUUAUCUGGUGGAUAGCCUUUCGAAAGGAAGAUUAAUACCCCAUAAUAUAAUGAUUGGCAUCAAUUAUUAUUGAAAACUCCGGUGGAUAGAGAUGGGCACGCGCAAGAUUAGAUAGUUGGUGAGGUAACGGCUCACCAAGUCAAUGAUCUUUAGGGGUCCUGAGAGGGAGAUCCCCCACACUGGUACUGAGACACGGACCAGACUCCUACGGGAGGCAGCAGUGAGGAAUAUAGGACAAUGGGUGAGAGCCUGAUCCAGCCAUCCCGCGUGAAGGAUGACGGUCCUAUGGAUUGUAAACUUCUUUUGUACAAGGAUAAACCUACCCUCGUGAGGGUAGCUGAAGGUACUGUACGAAUAAGCACCGGCUAACUCCGUG
rnacentral:rRNA from 1 species